rnacentral:rRNA from 1 species
UAGGGUUCGAUUCCGGAGAGGGAGCCUGAGAAACGGCUACCACAUCUAAGGAAGGCAGCAGGCGCGCAAAUUACCCAAUCCUAAUACAGGGAGGUAGUGACAAGAAAUAACAAUACAGGACUUUUUGGUUUUGUAAUUGGAAUGAGUUAAGUAUAAACCCCUUUACAAGUAUCAAUUGGAGGGCAAGUCUGGUGCCAGCAGCCGCGGUAAUUCCAGCUCCAAUAGCGUAUAUUAAAGUUGUUGCAGUUAAAAAGCUCGUAGUUGGAUUUCUGUUAAUAAUUUAUAUAUUAUACUUUUUAAGGUGUUUAUAUAAUAUUAACAUAAUUCAUAUUACUAUAUUUUUUUAGUAUAUGAAAUUUUACUUUGAGAAAAUUAGAGUGCUUAAAGCAGGCGUUAGCCUUGAAUACUCCAGCAUGGAAUAAUAUUAAAGAUUUUUAUCUUUCUUAUUGGUUCUAAGAUAAGAAUAAUGAUUAAUAGGGACAGUUGGGGGCAUU